GAUGAACGCUGGCGGCGUGCCUAAUACAUGCAAGUCGAGCGAACGGACGAGAAGCUUGCUUCUCUGAUGUUAGCGGCGGACGGGUGAGUAACACGUGGAUAACCUCCCUAUCAGACUGGGAUAACUUCGGGACACCGGCGCUAAUACCGGAUGAUCUUUUGCACCGCAUGGUUCAAAAGUGAAAGACGGUCUUGCUGUCACUUAUAGAUGGAUCCGCGCUGCAUUAGCUAGUUGGUAAGGUAACGGCUUACCAAGGCAACGAGGCAUAGCCGACCUGAGAGGGUGAUCGGCCACACUGGAACUGAGACACGGUCCAGACUCCUACGGGAGGCAGCAGUAGGGAAUCUUCCGCAAUGGGCGAAAGCCUGACGGAGCAACGCCGCGUGAGUGAUGAAGGUCUUCGGAUCGUAAAACUCUGUUAUUAGGGAAGAACAUAUGUGUAAGUAACUGUGCACAUCUUGACGGUACCGAAUCAGAAAGCCACGGCUAACUACGUG
rnacentral:rRNA from 1 species